rnacentral:rRNA from 1 species
UACGAACUGUGCGAACGUUAUUCGGAAUCACUGGGCUUAAAGGGUGCGUAGGCGGCGCUGUAAGUCAGGUGUGAAAUCCCCCGGCUCAACCGGGGAAUGGCGCUUGAAACUGCAGUGCUUGAGUGAGGUAGGGGUGCAUGGAACUUCCGGUGGAGCGGUGAAAUGUGUAGAUAUCGGAAGGAACGCCGGCGGCGAAAGCGGUGCACUGGGCCUUGUCUGACGCUGAGGCACGAAAGCUAGGGUAGCGAAC